rnacentral:rRNA from 1 species
AUUGAACGCUGGCGGCAGGUCUAACACAUGCAAGUCGAACGAGUGGCGGACGGGUGAGUAAUGUCUGGGAAACUGCCUGAUGGAGGGGGAUAACUACUGGAAACGGUAGCUAAUACCGCAUACCAUCAGAUGUGCCCAGAUGGGAUUAGCUAGUGGGUGGGGUAACGGCUCACCAAGGCGACGAUCCCUAGCUGGUCUGAGAGGAUGACCAGCAACACUGAAACGGAGACACGUCCAAGACUCUUACGGGAGGCAGCAUUGGGGAAUAUUGCACAAUGGGCGAAGGCCUGAUCCAGCCAUGCCGCGUGUAUGAAGAUGGCCUUGGGGUUUUAAAGUACUUUCGGCGGGGAGGCGUUACCCGCAGAAGAAGCACCGGCUAACUCCGUGCCAGCAGCCGCGGUAAUAC